rnacentral:tRNA from 1 species
CCAAAUAUAGUUUUUAGAAUAUCUCUUUGUUAAUGAGAAGGUUGAUUUUGGU